GAUGAACGCUGGCGGCGUGCCUAAUACAUGCAAGUCGAGCGAACAGACGAGGAGCUUGCUCCUCUGACGUUAGCGGCGGACGGGUGAGUAACACGUGGAUAACCUACCUAUAAGACUGGGAUAACUUCGGGGAACCGGAGCUAAUACCGGAUAAUAUAUUGAACCGCAUGGUUCAAUAGUGAAAGACGCUUUUGCUGUCUCUUAUAGAUGAAUCCGCGCCGCAUUAGCUAGUUGGUAAGGUAACGGCUUACCAAGGCAACGAUGCGUAGCCGACCUGAGAGGGUGAUCGGCCACACAGGAACUGAGACACGGUCCAGACUCCUACGGGAGGCAGCAGUAGGGAAUCUUCCGCAAAGGGCGAAAGCCUGACGGAGCAACGCCGCGUGAGUGAUGAAGGUCUUCGGAUCGUAAAACUCUGUUAUUAGGGAAGAACAAAUGUGUAAGUAACUAUGCACGUCUUGACGGUACCUAAUCAGAAAGCCACGGCUAACUACGUG
rnacentral:rRNA from 1 species